rnacentral:sRNA from 1 species
UUUAUUUCUCAUCUCCUCAGGAACACAAAUGAAACUUGGAUAUUGUUAUGGUGCUUUUUAUAAUAUAUUUAUUAUUUUCAGCAAUUGAUUCAUGUUAAAACAAUUUCUUAUGACAAGUUACUCAUCUUCAAUGUUGAGAAGAAAUCUAGCUCAGAAUAAUAUAUUUUUAGUGUUUGUAUCUCUGGAUACUCAUUUUGCUCAUUGCCACGUAAAGUAAAAAAAUACAUAAAUUAGCUUAUUCCAAUGUAAUAUCUUCAGGAUAGUCAUGGGCAAGGAAUUAAUCACAUUAAGAGAUAACUGCAACUAAGCACUAUUUGAGGUGACUUCUGUGGAAAAAAAAUUAAUUCUUUACCAUUGCAGCGUUCUGCCCUAGGUCCAAAUGUUACCAAAAUCACUCUAGAAUCUUUUCUUGCCUGGAAGAAAAGGAAAAGACAAGAAAAGAUUGAUAAACUUGAACAAGAUAUGGAAAGAAGGAAAGCUGACUUCAAAGCAGGGAAAGCACUAGUGAUCAGUGGUCGUGAAGUGUUUGAAUUUCGUCCUGAACUGGUCAAUGAUGAUGAUGAGGAAGCAGAUGAUACCCGCUACACCCAGGGAACAGGUGGUGAUGAGGUUGAUGAUUCAGUGAGUGUAAAUGACAUAGAUUUAAGCCUGUACAUCCCAAGAGAUGUAGAUGAAACAGGUAUUACCGUAGCCAGUCUUGAAAGAUUCAGCACAUAUACUUCAGAUAAAGAUGAAAACAAAUUAAGUGAAGCUUCUGGAGGUAGGGCUGAAAAUGGUGAAAGAAGUGACUUGGAAGAGGACAACGAGAGGGAGGGACCGGAAAAUGGAGCCAUUGAUGCUGUUCCUGUUGAUGAAAAUCUUUUCACUGGAGAGGAUUUGGA